GAUGAACGCUGGCGGCGUGCCUAAUACAUGCAAGUCGAGCGAACGGACGAGAAGCUUGCUUCUCUGAUGUUAGCGGCGGACGGGUGAGUAACACGUGGAUAACCUACCUAUCAGACUGGGAUAACUUCGGGAAACCGGAGCUAAUACCGGAUAAUAUUUUGAACCGCAUGGUUCAAAAGUAAAAGACGGUCUUGCUGUCACUUAUAGAUGGAUCCGCGCUGCAUUAGCUAGUUGGUAAGGUAACGGCUUACCAAGGCAACGAUGCAUAGCCGACCUGAGAGGGUGAUCGGCCACACUGGAACUGAGACACGGUCCAGACUCCUACGGGAGGCAGCAGUAGGGAAUCUUCCGCAAUGGGCGAGAGCCUGACGGAGCAACGCCGAGUGAGUGAUGAAGGUCUUCGGAUCGUAAAACUCUGUUAUGAGGGAAGAACAUAUGUGUAAGUAACUGUGCACAUCUUGACGGUACCUAAUCAGAAAGCCACGGCUAACUACGUG
rnacentral:rRNA from 1 species